rnacentral:rRNA from 1 species
AACGAACGCUGGCGGCAUGCCUAACACAUGCAAGUCGAACGAGACCUUCGGGUCUAGUGGCGCACGGGUGCGUAACGCGUGGGAAUCUGCCCUUGGGUUCGGAAUAACAGUUAGAAAUGACUGCUAAUACCGGAUGAUGUCUUCGGACCAAAGAUUUAUCGCCCAGGGAUGAGCCCGCGUAGGAUUAGCUAGUUGGUGGGGUAAAGGCCUACCAAGGCGACGAUCCUUAGCUGGUCUGAGAGGAUGAUCAGCCACACUGGGACUGAGACACGGCCCAGACUCCUACGGGAGGCAGCAGUGGGGAAUAUUGGACAAUGGGCGAAAGCCUGAUCCAGCAAUGCCGCGUGAGUGAUGAAGGCCUUAGGGUUGUAAAGCUCUUUUACCCGGGAUGAUAAUGACAGUACCGGGAGAAUAAGCCCCGGCUAAACUCCGUGCCAGCAGCCGCGGUAAU